rnacentral:rRNA from 1 species
GACGAGGGAUCCUAGCGUUGUUCGGAAUCAUUGGGCGUAAAGCGUGUGUAGGCUGCCAUUCAAGUCAGUUGUGAAAUCCCCGGGCUCAACCCGGGAAGUGCUUCUGAUACUGUUUGGCUUGAGUACUGGAGAGGAUAGUAGAAUUCCUGGUGUAGUGGUGAAAUACGUAGAUAUCAGGAGGAAUACCGGUGGCGAAGGCGGCUAUCUGGCCAUGUACUGACGCUGAGACACGAAAGCGUGGGGAGCAAACAGG